GACGAACGCUGGCGGCGUGCUUAACACAUGCAAGUCGAACGGAAAGGCCUGCUUUCCCUUGUGGAUUGCGGGUACUCGAGUGGCGAACGGGUGAGUAACACGUGAGUGAUCUGCCCCCAACUUGGGUAUAAGCCUGGGAAACUGGGUCUAAUUCCCGAUAGGACUGCAGGGUGGUGCCUGUGGUGGAAAACGAUUUUCUAGUGGUUGGGGAUGAGCUCGCGGCCUAUCAGCUUGUUGGUGGGGUAAUGGCCUACCAAGGCGGCGACGGGUAGCCGGCCUGAGAGGGUGGACGGCCACAUUGGGACUGAGAUACGGCCCAGACUCCUACGGGAGGCAGCAGUGGGGAAUAGUGCACAAUGGGCGGAAGCCUGAUGCAGCGACGCCGCGUGGGGGAUGACGGCCUUCGGGUUGUAAACUCCUUUCGACCGCGAGGAAGCCACCUGGUUGGAAGGGUGGUGACGGUAGUGGUAGAAGAGGCACCGGCUAACUACGUG
rnacentral:rRNA from 1 species